rnacentral:rRNA from 1 species
GUUCAAUUCAGUACAAUUUGAUUAUAAAUUUGAUUAUUAUUAUUAUUAUAAUUAAAAUAUUAUUUAAUUUAUUAUUAUAAAAGAAAAAUUUUUUUUUAUUAUAGUUUACUAGUAAAGUGAUUGAAUUUUUUUAUAUUUUUAAAAGAAAAAUUUAUUUUUUGUACCUUGUGUAUCAGGGUUUAUUAAUUUUAUUAUUAUUAUAUUAAUUUUUCUUGAAUUAAGAAGAGCUAAUCAUAUAUUUGUUUAAUUUUUUCAUAAAUUUUCAUAAUAUUUGGUUUGAAAUGAAAUGUUAUUCGUUUCUUAAUAUAUCUAGUUUUUUAAGAAAAGAAUUUAAUUCUCUUAUUAUUUGUUAUUAGUUAAUUUUUAGUUAAUAAUUUUUAGUAUGAAAUAAAUAAAGGGAUAAGCUUUUAUUUAUAAAAUUAAAAAUUUUAUUUUAUUAUAUUUUUUGUAUAAUUUAAAUUGUUAGUCAUUUUUAUAAUAUAAUAGUUAAUUUUAUUUAAUUAAUAAUUUAUAUUUAUUUUAAUUUUUAUAUUAAAAAUUUAUGUUUAAUUUUUUAACUUUUUUAUAAUGAUUAAAUUAGUAGAUAAUUUUGUAUUUUAUUAUUUAUUUUUUAGAAAAUAAAAAGGAACUCGGCAAAAAUAUUUUUCGCCUGUUUAUUAAAAACAAGUUUUUUUGAUUAUAAUUUAAGAUUUAAUCUGCUCAAUGAUUUAUUAAAUUGCCGCAGUAUUCUGACAGUGCAAAGGUAGCAUAAUAAUUAGCUUUUUAAUUGGGAGCUUGAAUGAAUGAUUGGACGAGAAAAUUUCUGUCUCUUUAUUAUUUAUUAUUUAAUUUAACUUUUAAGUUAAAAGGCUUAAAUUUUUUUAAAAGACGAGAAGACCCUAUAGAGUUUUAUUUUUAUUUUUUUAAUUUAUUUUUGGAAUUUUAAAUGUUUUAUUAAAUAAAAAAUUUAGUUGGGGUGACUGAAAGAUUAAUUUAACUCUUUUAAUUAUAAUCAUUUGUUUAUGAAUAAUAAAAUUAUUUUUAUAAAUUUAAAAUAAAUUACCUUAGGGAUAACAGCGUUAUUUUUCUUUAUAGUUCUUAUAGAAAGGAAAGAUUGCGACCUCGAUGUUGGCUUAAAAUUUAUUUUAGGUGUAGAAGCUUAAAUAUUAAGUCUGUUCGACUUUUAAAAUUUUACAUGAUCUGAGUUUAAACCGGUGUGAGCCAGGUUGGUUUCUAUCUUUAAAUUUUUAAUAUAUUUUAGUACGAAAGGACCAAAUAUAUAAUAUAUUAUUUUAUUUUGAAUAAUAUU